rnacentral:rRNA from 1 species
GACGAACGCUGGCGGCGUGCUUAACACAUGCAAGUCGAGCGGAGCGGCGAACGGGUGAGUAACGCGUGAGUAACUGCCCCCCUCUCUGGGAUAACAGUUGGAGACGGAUGCUAAUACCGGAUAGUGGGGGAUGACUCGCGUCCUAUCAGCUUGUGGGUGGCGUAGUGGCCUACCAAGGCGACGACGGGUAGCCGGCCUGAGAGGGCGACGGGCCACAUGGGGCGGAGAUACUGCCAAAACGCCUACGGGAGGCAGAAGUGGGGAAUCUUGCUCAAUGGGGGAAACCCUGAUGCAGAAACGCCGCGUGCGGGAUGACGGCCUUCGGGUUGUAAACCGCUUUCAGCUAUGACGCGGUAGUGGCAGAAGAAGCACCGGCUAACUACGUGCCAGCAGCCGCGGUAAUAC